rnacentral:rRNA from 1 species
GUAGGGCCCAAGCGUUGUCCGGAUUUAUUGGGCGUAAAGAGCUCGUAGGCGGUUCGGUAAGUCGGGUGUGAAAACUCAGGGCUCAACCCUGAGACGCCACUCGAUACUGCCAUGACUAGAGUCCGGUAGGGGAGCGUGGAAUCCCUGGUGUAGCGGUGAAAUGCGCAGAUAUCAGGAGGAACACCGAUAGCGAAGGCAGCGCUCUGGGCCGGUACUGACGCUGAGGAGCGAAAGCGUGGGGAGCAAACAGGAUUAGAUACCCUGGUAGUCCACGCCGUAAACGUUGGGCACUAGGUGUGGGUUCCCAUCCAACGGAAUCCCGUGCCGUAGCUAACGCAUUAAGUGCCCCCGCCUGGGGAGUACGGCCGCAAGGCUA